CUGUCAACCCUUAUUGGCCCCUAUUUCGUAGUAAAAGGCUUAAAGCUGUUUGAAACUUUGGAAGAGACCCCUCCUAGCGGCGCGAGACUCAUACAACGACUUUCUCAUCGGACGACGUCGUUUUGAAGUCUCCGAACGACAGACGACUGUACCGAUUGAUCAAGCUCGAGAAUGGCCUCACUGCAUUGCUAGUUCACGAUCCUGAGAUUGGAGAUUCCCAACUCUCCAAGGGCUCUGAGGAAGCUGAGAUGGAAGAAGAAGAAGAAGGAAUGGAGGAGGAGGAGGAUGAGGAAGACGACGAUGAAGAAGACGAAGAUAGUGAAGGAGAGGAUGAAGAUGAAGAUGGACUGAAGAAGAAAAAGGGAGGGGAUUCUCAGACUAAGAAGGCAGCAGCGGCAAUGUGUGUAGGAAUAGGCAGCUUCUCCCUAUCCUCCUGAGGCACCGGGGCUUGCACACUUUCUAGAACACAUGCUCUUUAUGGGGAGUACAGAAUUUCCAGAUGAAAAUGAGUAUGACAGUUACUUGUCCAAGCAUGGAGGAUGCAUACACGGAAGUAGAGCAUACUUGCUACCAUUUUGAAGUGAAACGAGAGUUUCUCAAGGGUGCCUUGACAAGGCAGCAGCAGCAAUGUGCGUUGGAAUAGGCAGCUUUUCUGACCCUAUGGAAGCACAGGGGCUUGCACACUUUCUUGAACAUAUGCUCUUCAUGGGGAGUACAAAGUUUCCGGUUGAAAAUGAGGUAUGCUUGCAUUGAGUACAUAUUCUCUUCUCCUGAUGCUAACCUCAUUAGAGAUGUCAGUGUGAAGAAUAAGACUGACACAAACUCUGUGAUUGAGCUAUAUUUUCAAAUUGAGCGGGCAGUGGGGAUUGAGUCCACCAGAUUGAGAGCAUUAAUAGAUCUGUUGAUGAAGUUCUAGACGAACCAUUUUACGAUCAACUACGGACAAAGGAGCAGCUGGGAUAUGUUGUUCAGUGCAACUGGAAGGUGAUGUUCGGUGUUUUUGGCUUUUAUUUCAUAGUUCAAUCGUUGGAGUACAACCCAAUCUACUUGCAGCGGAGAGUUCCUUUCAAAUACUGCGACAAGGUCUGGAUGAUGAUUCCUUUGAGAAUUACAGAGGUGGGCUAAUGGCAAAGCUAUUGGCGAAAAAUUCAUCCUUUAUAAAUGAAACCAAUCGACUGGAAUCAGAUUAUCCAUGUAAAAGGUGUACAUUUGACUAUGCAAAGAGGGUGGCAGAAGAGCUCAGCAGUCUACAGGAGGAUGCUGUCAACUUUUACAAGACGUACUUGCAACAAUCAUCUCCCAAGCGUCGGAGACUUGCCAUUCGUGUUUGGGUUGCAAAACUGACUCAAAGAAGCUGCAGAAUCGCGACGGGAGUCAGUGAAGGUCAUUGAAGACCUUGAAGCGUUUAAGAUGUCAUCUGUGUUCUAUCCUAACGGUUGUUGAAAAAUUAUGGAUUGUUUCUGAAUUCUGAGUAUUUAUCAGAAACUGAACCAUUAAUAGAAACAAUGAAGCUA